AUUGAACGCUGGCGGCAGGCCUAACACAUGCAAGUCGAGCGGAUGAAGGGAGCUUGCUCCUGGAUUCAGCGGCGGACGGGUGAGUAAUGCCUAGGAAUCUGCCUUGUAGUGGGGGAUAACGUCCGGAAACGGGCGCUAAUACCGCAUCCGUCCUGAGGGAGAAAGUGGGGGAUCUUCGGACCUCACGCUAUCAGCUGAGCCUAGGUCGGAUUAGCUAGUUGGUGGGGUAAAGGCCUACCAAGGCGACGAUCCGUAACUGGUCUGAGAGGAUGAUCAGUCACACUGGAACUGAGACACGGUCCAGACUCCUACGGGAGGCAGCAGUGGGGAAUAUUGGACAAUGGGCGAAAGCCUGAUCCAGCCAUGCCGCGUGUGUGAAGAAGGUCUUCGGAUUGUAAAGCACUUUAAGUUGGGAGGAAGGGCAGUAAGUGAAUACCUUGCUGUUUUGACGUUACCAACAGAAUAAGCACCGGCUAACUUCGUG
rnacentral:rRNA from 1 species